rnacentral:misc_RNA from 1 species
UCCCCGUUACCGGGGCAGUCUAGCUAGAAAAAUUCAACUAACUAUAAGGGUUGCGCUCGUUGAUGGACUUAACCAAACAUCUCACGACACGAGCUGAAGACGGCCAUGCAUCACCUGUCACUGCGGCCCGAAGGCACACUUUCCUUUCGGAAAGCUUGGCAGGAUGUCAAACCCUGGUAAGGUUCUUCGCUUACCGUCGAAUUAAACAACACGCUCCACCGCUUGUGCGGGUCCCCGUCAAUUCCUUUAUGUUUUAAGCUUGCGCUCGUACUCCACAGGCGGCUUGCUUAACGCGUUAGCUUCGCUACUAUCAGGGUCGAUACUGAUAACAGCUAGCAAGCAUAGUUUACGGCGUGGACUAC